rnacentral:rRNA from 1 species
CACGUAGGCGGAUCGGCCAGUCAGGCGUGAAAGCCCCGGGCUUAACCUGGGAACUGCGCUUGAAACUGCCGAUCUAGAGUCCGGGAGAGGGUAGUGGAAUUCCCAGUGUAGAGGUGAAAUUCGUAGAUAUUGGGAAGAACACCGGUGGCGAAGGCGGCUACCUGGACCGGUACUGACGCUAAGGUGCGAAAGCGUGGGGAGCAAACA